GACCAUCCACUAAUUAACAGCUAGCUCUGCUUCUCUUUUAUACCCCCCUCCUCGUCCAACUCCUCUCCACCAUUACACUUCAAGCUUUCUCUCUCUAAAAAGUUCCAUUUUGAGAAUUUUAUAGGCACAUAACUCUUCAAAUAUCUGGUAUAUAACUUUAUACCCAUUUGAGAAUAUCACCAUUUAUCUCAUCCUUUCAAGCUAUUUCUCUUUCUCUCUCUCUCAAAAAGUUCCAAUCUUCAAAUACUUUGAUAGUUUAAUUGAUCCUUUUUUAUAGAAAUAUACUUCAAGCUCUGUUUUGAUUGUUCUUCAUGAAUCUUCAAAGUUCAAAUAUAAUUGAUUCCAACUAAAUUUCAUCCUUUUUUCUACCUGUUUUGAUUGUUCUUCAUGAAUCUUCAAAGUUCAAAUAUAAUUGAUUCCAACUAAAUUUCAUCCUUUUUUCUACAAACCCACCAUUAAUCAAAGCUCUGUUUAGUUCUUCAUGGAAAUUUCUUGAAAAAAGCUAUUUUCGGCUAUUAAUUUUCAGUCUCUUUCUUCUUAAACCAUGGAAAUUUCUUCAAAAUUGGCUAGCUUUUUAAUCUAGAAAUACAGUUCAGUCUCUAUGUAAAUAGUACCCAUUUGAUUAAUUUGGCAAUUAUGGUUUCAGUGCAAGAUUCUCACUCAAAUUACUACUAUACUCCGCCACCGUCUUCCUCCAAAAUCCAGCGCACUCUAGGCCGGUCCAUGC
rnacentral:lncRNA from 1 species